UGGCGGACGGGUGAGUAAUGUCUGGGAAACUGCCUGGUGGAGGGGGGAUAACUACUGGAAACGGUAGCUAAUACCGCAUAACGUCGCAAGACCAAAGAGGGGGACCUUCGGGCCUCUUGCCAUCAGAUGUGCCCAGAUGGGAUUAGCUAGUAGGUGGGGUAACGGCUCACCUAGGCGACAAUCCCUAGCUGGUCUGAGAGGAUGACCAGCCACACUGGAACUGAGACACGGUCCAGACUCCUACGGGAGGCAGCAUG
rnacentral:rRNA from 1 species